rnacentral:rRNA from 1 species
AACGAACGCUGGCGGCAGGCUUAACACAUGCAAGUCGAACGCGUCCUUCGGGACGAGUGGCAGACGGGCGAGUAACGCGUGGGAACGUACCCUUUGGUUCGGAACAACAGCGGGAAACUGCUGCUAAUACCGGAUAAGCCCUUCGGGGGAAAGGUUUAUCGCCAGAGGAUCGGCCCGCGUUAGAUUAGCUUGUUGGUGUGGUAAAGGCGCACCAAGCCUACGAUCCAUAGCUGGUCUGAGAGGAUGAUCAGCUACACUGGGACUGAGACACGGCCCAGACUCCUACGGGAGGCAGCAGUGGGGAAUCUUGCGCAAUGGGCGAAAGCCUGACGCAGCCAUGCCGCGUGAAUGAUGAAGGUCUUAGGAUUGUAAAAUUCUUUUACCAGGGACGAUAAUGACGGUACCUGGAGAAAAAGCCCCGGCUAACUUCGUGCCAGCCGCCGCCGUAACAC